rnacentral:rRNA from 1 species
UACGGAGGGGGCUAGCGUUGUUCGGAAUUACUGGGCGUAAAGCGCACGUAGGCGGCUUUGCAAGUUAGAGGUGAAAGCCCGGGGCUCAACUCCGGAAUUGCCUUUAAAACUGCAUCGCUAGAAUUGUGGAGAGGUAAGUGGAAUUCCGAGUGCAGAGGUGAAAUUCGUAGAUAUUCGGAAGAACACCAGUGGCGAAGGCGACUUACUGGACACAUAUUGACGCUGAGGUGCGAAAGCGUGGGGAGCAAACAGG